GGAGCACAGAGUCUCAGCCACUGGACCACCAGGGAAGUCCCUGGAAAAAUUUUUUAAAGCAGUUUUUCAGUUGCUUAAAGAAACCGCAAGGAAUGGACAACUCUGGUUCUCAGCCUGGCUUUGCCACUUAUAGGCUGCAUAACCCUGGGCAAGAUAUUCAAGCAGCUAAGAUACUCAGACCUCACUCUGUAAAAGGCAGCUCUUGAGAAGCCUGAGAUGAGGGGACCAGGGUCCAGGAGUGAGAAGGAGUGAAGCUGAGCCCUUUUCAAAGGCUCAGAGAACGUGCUCCUUUAGGCAUCUGGUGGUUAAUAGAAGCGUCAUACUACAAACCCCCUCCAUGGACCACAACUUGGUCAUGGUGAAUGGAAGGACUGAUGUUUGGGCCACCUGAUGUGAAGAGCCAGCUCAUUGGGAAAGACCCUGAUGCUGGGAAAGAUUGAGGGCAAGAGGAGAAGGAGGAGACGGAGGAUGAGAUGGUUGGAUG